AUUGAACGCUGGCGGCAGGCCUAACACAUGCAAGUCGAGCGGCAGCGGGAAAGUAGCUUGCUACUUUUGCCGGCGAGCGGCGGACGGGUGAGUAAUGCCUGGGAAAUUGCCCAGUCGAGGGGGAUAACAGUUGGAAACGACUGCUAAUACCGCAUACGCCCCACGGGGGAAAACAGGGGACCUUCGGGCCUUGCACGAUUGGAUAUGCCCAGGUGGGAUUAGCUAGUUGGUGAGGUAAUGGCUCACCAAGGCGACGAUCCCUAGCUGGCCUGAGAGGAUGAUUAGCCACACUGGAACUGAGACACGGUCCAGACUCCUAUGGGAGGCAGCAGUGGGGAAUAUUGCACAAUGGGGGAAACCCUGAUGCAGCCAUGCCGCGUGUGUGAAGAAGGCCUUCGGGUUGUAAAGCACUUUCAGCGAGGAGGAAAGGUUGAUGCCUAAUACGUAUCAACUGUGACGUUACUCGCAGAAGAAGCACCGGCUAACUCCGUGCCAGCAGCCGCGGUAAUAC
rnacentral:rRNA from 1 species